rnacentral:rRNA from 1 species
UACGGAGGGUGCAAACGUUGCUCGGAAUCAUUGGGCGUAAAGCGCACGUAGGCGGUCCAGCAAGUCGGGUGUGAAAGCCCUCGGCUUAACCGAGGAAGUGCAUUCGAAACUACUGGACUUGAAUACUGGAGAGGAUAGCGGAAUUCCCGGUGUAGAGGUGAAAUUCGUAGAUAUCGGGAGGAACACCAGUGGCGAAGGCGGCGAUCUGGACAGAUAUUGACGCUGAGGUGCGAAAGCGUGGGGAGCAAACAGG